rnacentral:sRNA from 1 species
AUAUCUCUCUGUACGGGAAGGAUGAGAAGCUUCGACUAAGGUUCGAUUCGAGCGAAAGCGAGAAAGCGUUGCCGC